rnacentral:rRNA from 1 species
GGAAAGGGCGAUCGGUAGGCAGCAGUGGGGAAUUUUGGACAAUGGGCGCAAGCCUGAUCCAGCCAUUCCGCGUGAGUGAAGAAGGCCUUCGGGUUGUAAAGCUCUUUCGCAAGGGAAGAAAACUUACUUUCUAAUAAAGAGUGAGGCUGACGGUACCUUGAUAAGAAGCACCGGCUAACUACGUGCCAGCAGCCGCGGUAAUACGUAGGGUGCGAGCGUUAAUCGGAAUUACUGGGCGUAAAGCGUGCGCAGCCAGUUUGGCAAGUCAGAUGUGAAAUCCCCGAGCUCAACUUGGGAACUGCGUUUGAAACUGCCAGACUAGAAUAUGUCAGAGGGGGGUAGAAUUCCACGUGUAGCAGUGAAAUGUGUAGAGAUGUGGAGGAAUACCAAUGGCGAAGGCAGCCCCCUGGGAUAAUAUUGACGCUCAUGCACGAAAGCGUGGGGAGCAAACAGGAUUAGAUACCCUGGUAGUCCACGCCCUAAACGAUGUCUACUAGUUGUUGGUGGAGUAAAAUCCAUGAGUAACGCAGCUAACGCGUGAAGUAGACC